UUUUACCCAGACCUAGUGACCGUCCUGUUUGGGCUAAUAUCGAAAGGUUUAUAACCUACGCUGUAAUGGCAGACCUGGGAGCGUUUGACGAUAUUU
rnacentral:ncRNA from 12 species